UGCCUUAGUUGAGUGUGGAGACUCCAAUGUUUGGCAUGGAAAAUCACUGCAGUGACCGCACACAACCUCCGUCUUAUGGCUAAGAAACCGAGAAUGUGCAACACCUUCCUAAAGUUCAGGUAUCAAUUAGGUUGCAGCUAUUAAUAAGGGCCAGGGAUAGACUGGCUGCUGUAAUCAGUCGGGAGCCCAUUGAUUUCGAAUAUCUUCACUUCAUCACCUGUCAGGAACUGCAGUUUUUACGGGCAGGGGCAGCUUAUAUGGAUAUUCCUCAAUGUGUUAUAGUUGGCUUUGAGCAGCUCAAUGAGGUGAUCAAGGCUCUGCUUUCCAACAGUCCUGUCACCCCUUUAGUUGACAAUGUAGCUGUAGUCGAGUGGAAUGGAAGUGUGGGGCAACCUAGAUUGAGUAUCGGUAGGGAUGUUAUUGAAAGUCUUUUAAGCACCAACCUACCUUUGACCACUCUGGCUAAUGCUCAUGGCAUUUCAAGAUCCACCCUGUGUAGGAGGAUGAGAGAGUAUGGUCUCUCAGUCAGACGCAGCUACUCUGACAUUCCCGAUUUUGUCUUUGACAGGAAGGCAAGUAUGACAGUAAAUUCAUGAUGCAUCAAACGUUAUAUACUCGAAUAUGGCCAGAUUCC